rnacentral:rRNA from 1 species
AUUGAACGCUGGCGGCAUGCCUUACACAUGCAAGUCGAACGGCAGCACGGGAGCAAUCCUGGUGGCGAGUGGCGAACGGGUGAGUAAUAUAUCGGAACGUGCCCGGUCGUGGGGAUAACGUAGCGAAAGCUACGCUAAUACCGCAUACGAUCUACGGAUGAAAGCGGGGGAUCGCAAGACCUCGCGCGAUUGGAGCGGCCGAUAUCAGAUUAGGUAGUUGGUGAGGUAAAGGCUCACCAAGCCGACGAUCUGUAGCUGGUCUGAGAGGACGACCAGCCACACUGGGACUGAGACACGGCCCAGACUCCUACGGGAGGCAGCAGUGGGGAAUUUUGGGACAAUGGGGCAACCCUGAUCCAGCAAUGCCGCGUGAGUGAAGAAGGCCUUCGGUUGUAAGUCUACUUUUGUUCUAGGGAAGGAAACGGUAGAGUUC